GAUGAACGCCGGCGGCGUGCUUAACACAUGCAAGUCGAACGGAAAGGCCCAAGCUUGCUUGGGUACUCGAGUGGCGAACGGGUGAGUAACACGUGGGUGAUCUGCCCUGCACUUCGGGAUAAGCCUGGGAAACUGGGUCUAAUACCGGAUAGGAGCACUUCUUUGAUGUUGUGGUGGAAAGUUUUUUCGGUGUGGGAUGAGCUCGCGGGCUAUCAGCUUGUUGGUGGGGCAAUGGCCUACUCAGGAGUCGGCGGGUAGCGGGCAUGAGAGGGUGUACGGCCACAUUGGGACUGAGAUACGGCGCAGACACCUACGGGAGGCAGCAGUGGGGAGUAUAGCACAAAGGGCGCCAGCCGGAUGCAGCGACGACGCGUGGGGGAUGACGGCGUUCGGGUUGUAAACUCCUUUCGCUAGGGACGAAGCGUAUUGUGACGGUACCUGGAGAAGAAGCACCGGCUAACUACGUG
rnacentral:rRNA from 1 species